AAGGAAGCCACAAGAUCCUAAACCAUAGUGACAAUUUUAAUACUAAUAAACUAGGUUUUAACCCGCGGUUUACCGCGGGCAAUCGGUUUAUUUGGUUCUUAUACUAAAUAUAUGA
rnacentral:sRNA from 1 species